GGUUCCAUGGUGUAGCGGUUAGCACUCAGGACUUUGAAUCCUGCGACCCGAGUUCGAAUCUCGGUGGGACCU
rfam:Bursaphelenchus xylophilus, Ka4C1 (inbred line), WGS project CADV01000000 data, contig: scaffold01144.64